rnacentral:rRNA from 1 species
AGCGAACGCUGGCGGCAGGCUUAACACAUGCAAGUCGAGCGCCCCGCAAGGGGAGCGGCAGACGGGUGAGUAACGCGUGGGAACGUGCCCUUCGGUCCGGAAUAACCCAGGGAAACUUGGGCUAAUACCGGAUACGUCCGAAAGGAGAAAGAUUUAUCGCCGAAGGAUCGGCCCGCGUAAGAUUAGCUAGUUGGUGAGGUAACGGCUCACCAAGGCUAUGAUCUUUAGCUGUUCUGAGAGGAAGAUCAGCCACACUGGGACUGAGACACGGCCCAGACUCCUACGGGAGGCAGCAGUGGGGAAUAUUGGACAAUGGGCGCAAGCCUGAUCCAGCCAUGCCGCGUGAGUGAUGAAGGCCUUAGGGUUGUAAAGCUCUUUUACCAGGGAAGAUAAUGACGGUACCUAGGAAAAUAACGCCCCGGCUAACUUCGUGCCAGCAGCCGCGGUAAU